rnacentral:rRNA from 1 species
UGACAGUACUCCUACGGGGAGGCAGCAGUCGGGGGAAUAUUGCACAAUGGGCGCAAGCCUGAUGCAGCCAUGCCGCGUGUGUGAAGAAGGACCUUCGGGUUGUAAAGCACUUUCAGUCGUGAGGAAGGUAGUGUAGUUAAUAGCUGCAGUAUUUGACGUUAGCGACAGAAGAAGCACCGGCUAACUCCGUGCCCAGCAGCCGCGGUAAUACGGAGGGUGCGAGCGUUAAUCGGAAUUACUGGGCGUAAAGCGCAUGCAGGUGGUUUGUUAAGUCAGAUGUGAAAGACCCGGGGCUCAACCUCGGAAUAGCAUUUGAAACUGGCAGACUAGAGUACUGUAGAGGGGGGUAGGAAUUUCAGGUGUAGCGGUGAAAUAGCGUAGAGAUCUGAAGGAAUACCGGUGGCGAAGGCGGCCCCCUGGACAGAUACUGACACUCAGAUGCGAAAGCGUGGGGAGCAAACAGGAUUAGAUACCCUGGUAG